CUUCCUGACCCAGGGAUCGAACCCAGGUCUCCCACAUUGCAGGCAGAUGCUUUAACCUCUGAGCCACCAGGGA
rnacentral:tRNA from 1 species